rnacentral:misc_RNA from 1 species
UCGAAAUUAUUGGUGAGGGUUGUAGCUGGCCUUUCGAGGCAUGUGCACGCUCGAGCCCUUAAUCCACUUUACACCUGUGCACUUAAUGUAGGUCGCCCUUAAAAAAGGUGACCUAUGUCUUAUCAUCAACCCAUCGUAUGUCUCAUAGAAUGUAAUCGAUAUCCUCGCCCUAAAAAAGCGUUGAUAAACUUAUA